AUUGAACGCUGGCGGUAUGCCUUACACAUGCAAGUCGAACGGCAGCACGGACUUCGGUCUGGUGGCGAGUGGCGAACGGGUGAGUAAUAUAUCGGAACAUACCUUGUAGUGGGGGAUAACUAUCCGAAAGGAUAGCUAAUACCGCAUACGCUCUACGGAGGAAAGCGGGGGAUCGUAAGACCUCGUGCUAUAAGAGUGGCCGAUAUCUGAUUAGCUAGUUGGUGAGGUAAAGGAGCACCAAGGCGACGAUCAGUAGCUGGUCUGAGAGGACGACCAGCCACACUGGAACUGAGACACGGUCCAGACUCCUACGGGAGGCAGCAGUGGGGAAUUUUGGACAAUGGGGGCAACCCUGAUCCAGCAAUGCCGCGUGAGUGAAGAAGGCCUUCGGGUUGUAAAGCUCUUUUGUCAGGGAAGAAACGGUUGUGGCUAAUAUCCAUGGCUAAUGACGGUACCUGAAGAAUAAGCACCGGCUAACUACGUGCCAGCAGCCGCCGUAAGAC
rnacentral:rRNA from 1 species